UACGGAGGGUGCAAACGUUGCUCGGAAUCAUUGGGCGUAAAGCGCACGUAGGCGGUCGGCUAUGUCGGAUGUGAAAGCCUCGGGCUUAACCCGAGAAGGGCAUCCGAAACUGUCCGGCUUGAGUAUGGAAGAGGGUCUCGGAAUUCCCGGUGUAGAGGUGAAAUUCGUAGAUAUCGGGAGGAACACCAGUGGCGAAGGCGGAGACCUGGGCCAAUACUGACGCUCAGGCACGAAAGCGUGGGGAGCAAACAGG
rnacentral:rRNA from 1 species